AUCAAGAUGGAGAGGGGAGAGUCUAGUUGGGAGGCUUGCCGCAGAGCCAAUAUUGCGUAGACCGUAGUGAACCACCACCUCACUGACCCUAACUCCCUAGCAACAUGAGAGAAUAUCAGAGCACGCCCAAUCAUUGGAAGGUGAAGAAAUAGGGCACAAUAUGUGAUUCUUAUGGCCCAAAGUGGCCUAAAUAUGCCUCACUGCUGCUGGAAGGUUGGCUCGCCGAGAAGAGAGUCAUGCAUCAUGGGAGGAAAUAUAUGUAUUAGUGCGCUUGCAAAAUAAAAAGGUGGUUUUCCGCUGUGAUGCAUGACUCUCUUCUCGAUGAGCCAGCCUUCAAGCAGCAACGAGGCAUAUUCAGGUAACUCUGGGCCAUAAAAAUCACAUACUGUCCCCCACUUCUUCACCUUCCCUUGCGUGGGGAGUGUCUUCUCCCAUGUUGCUAGGGAUUUCGGGUUAGUUAGGUGAUGGUUUACUAUGGUCUGUGCAUAUUGGCUCUGUCGCUAGCCUCCCAACUGGACUCUCCCCACUCCAUGUAGAUGAUCAGCUGAAGGAGUGAAGGACGAGAAGCAGGUAUAUAUGCAGAGGGUUGGUGAGAUUGGGUGCUCUUUUCUGAAGUGUGUAUUAAUUUUUACAUAUGUCUAUGUGACACUGCGAUCAAUGUCGUACCCAGCCGUGGAAAAGUGGGCAUUUUGUACGCAUGCAUUUCCUCUACUUUACUCUAUAGUGGAAGGGAGUAUCAACAAAGGGGUGUGUGUGUAUUUGUAAACAUGAAUUAUUGUUUAACAAAGGGUUCGAGAACGUACAUAUUGGGUUAUGAUUCCAGUGAA